GACUAUAUCGUGUGAUAUGAGCUUGAAAAGUAAUUUACGUACAAGUCUUGAAAGCAAAUCAAGUUUUAAAACAAAGUAGCAUCUACUCUGCCCCAGCCUUGACAUCUUAUUACAUAGCAAAUGCUGGCUUUUUAAUUUCCCUAAUCAAGACUGGUCCUAUUUAGCCCACCUCCUCAAGGGGUCCCAGCACUAGCCCCACUCCGACGCCUGAUGAAGUUCCAGAACAGGAGAAAAGGCAUUCAUUUUCUUCCUCCACGUCAUGAUACCAACCGAAAUUACCUUUAAAUGAGGAAGAAGGGGGCAACGUGGAGAGAUGUAGGAAGUGAACCUGAAGCCUGACACACUCAAGGUCUCGGAACCGAAAAUAAUAGGAAUUGUUCUUAUUUUUCCAGUGGAAUCAAGCACAGAGAUGGGCACGCCUCUUUACAGAACCAAAGAUUCAGAACUGUGCCUUACCCUUUGCUUAUGAGGCGGAGGAGGAGGAAGAGAAAGAACCACCGCAAAGAGAGAUGGCAACAAAGGUAAAAUGAAGGCCGGGCAGCCGAUCCCACUCAGGCUGACCACAGUGAGGGAGCAGCAUUAAAAUGAGAAAGGAUCAGGUCUCGAAGCCCAGCCCUUCCCGCUGAAUCUCGUCCUUUGCUUCAUCCAUUCCAUUAAAUAAGUCAUAUUGAAAAUAAAUUAUUAUUAAUACAACAGUAGACAAAAUGCUUGGAGGAGCAACAGACACCCUGAGACCAUGAAGACAGGACGAAGUCACACACUAAGAGCUGAGGCCCAGGGUCACCACAAACCCGGGAGACAUGAGGCCAGGCCUGAGAGGCACAGGCAGGCUGAGGAAUGGACAGAAGAGCAACAGAGAAGCCUGGAGGAUGAAAGCCAACUCUGCAAAGAGCUUCCAAGAGUCUUCCUGCCACAGAAAUUCCACUUGGCCACAGAAAUGGCCCUGGCCCUGGGCCAGGAGAGAGGUGGCGACGAGCUGCUCAUGGCAAUGACUUUCAGUCAGCAUGUCUUACCUGUGCUUCCAAGGGUGGAGAUGCCACUUUGAGUAGGUCACUGGGUCAGGCAGGUCACAAACCAAGCUCCUCCUACACAGUGAGUUCACGGAGACAGAGAGAAGGAAGGGAAGGAGGUUCUCAGCUCUACUGAUUCCUUAGGUCAAGGAGGGACAGGGUCCCUGUACUUGGGGACCCUCCAGUCUGAUGGGAAGAUACAAGGCAACCCUCUUAGAGCCGUAGAAUGAAUGCCACCUAUAGUUCCUCCCUUCAGGAAGGAAAUCCAGUCUGAUGGAAGAGACACGGCCCCUGUUGUAUCAUUCUUGCCUUCUUACCCAUGUCACACAAGGGAGUGAAGGAGGUGGCAGGCCCAGGGAUAGGUCCAUUUCUGUGGUGAAUGGAGGCUUUCAGAGGACAUUCCCACAGCCCUGCUGUCAAGGGCCCCUUCCCCUUCCUCCCUCCCCGGCACGAUGCCUUACCCACUGGAAUGAAUCCUGAGCUCUGAGCCUAUUCCUAACACAUGAAUGCUGACCCCUUUGUCACGUCCCGCUUUCCCUCCAACUCUGUUUUUUGUUCUUUUUCCCACCCAGACUCGCCCUCCCCCACUUGCCAUUUCCCAAGCUCAUCCCGGGGAGACCAGACUCAAUGGCCCACUGGUGAUCUUGUUUUACAUGAGACAUUUCCAAAAAAGACCAAAAAAUCCUUUCCAGGAAAAUGCCAUUUUUAAAAUUCAGCUCCAGACACUGCGGCAACAUUAGGAAAACAAAGGACUUGGCAGAAAGGUUUUCUGCGUGGGGACUUUCUCUCGAAAAUACCUUCUCCAAAUUGCCUCCAGUGGGGAUGACUCCAAGGGUCAGUUCUGGAGCACCCAGGCAAUUGCAGACAGAGUGACUUCGGGUUUGUACACUGUCCCAGGUCUUUCCUUACCUGAUAUCACCCUGGGAUCUUCCAGGCUUAAACAAGGAGCCCCUUCCAAGGGUCCCCAAAGGAAGCAGCUGUCUCUGAGGGUCAAGAAAUAAUGCUGCUUCCUUCCUCCAGAGGGGACUCCUCAACCCCUCUCUUGCCACCAUCACUAAGCCAGGGGCCCAGGUUAGGAGGUGGAGGGACAUAGUGUGCUUAGUAGAGAGCUUGUCUUCUCUUAUCAUCCAAGUGAGAGGAAUACACAGCUUCCCCUGGGGCAUACAUAGUGGUGUUCCCCUUUUUUGCAUGUAUCAGGUAUAAUUAAUCAGGUUGACAUCACAUAUGUAAUAAUAAUGGCCAUUAUUUAUUAAACACUUCCAAUGUGU
rnacentral:lncRNA from 1 species